rnacentral:rRNA from 1 species
AUUGAACGCUGGCGGCAUGCCUUACACAUGCAAGUCGAACGGUAACAGGUCUUCGGAUGCUGACGAGUGGCGCACGGGUGAGUAAUACAUCGGAACGUGCCUAGUAGUGGGGGAUAAGUACUAGAAAGAGUGGCUAAUACCGCAUGAGAUCUACGGAUGAAAGCAGGGGAUCGCAAGACCUUGUGCUACUAGAGCGGCCGAUGGCAGAUUAGGUAGUUGGUGGGAUAAAAGCUUACCAAGCCGACGAUCUGUAGCUGGUCUGAGAGGACGAUCAGCCACACUGGGACGGGGACACGGCCCAGACUCCUACGGGAGGCAGCAGUGGGGAAUUUUGGACAAUGGGCGCAAGCCUGAUCCAGCAAUGCCGCGUGCAGGAUGAAGGCCUUCGGGUUGUAAACUGCUUUUGUACGGAACGAAAAGCCCCGGGUUAAUACCCUGGGGUCAUGACGGUACCGUAAGAAUAAGCACCGGCUAACUACGUGCCAGCCGCCGCCGUAA